GUGAAUGACACCUCAGCCACACACAUACUUAAAAUUGGAACUGUACAGAGCAGAUUAGCAUGGCUCCUGUGCAAAUUUGUGAGGCAGAGGUUUUUUUU
rnacentral:snRNA from 1 species